rnacentral:lncRNA from 1 species
UUCAAACGAAUGACUGAAUAGUUUGAACUUCAAACCACAUGUAAGAACUAUGCAUGUGUGGUUGACCUCUUUGGCCGUGAUGGUGCCUUCAAAGGCACAUAACUUAAGUAGCAUGCCCAUGGCGUCCACAUGCAUCAGUUGUUCGGGGUGCUUUGCUUGCAGCUUCCAGUGUGCAUUGUUACUGAGUUAUUCAAGAUUGAGCCAGAUAGUUUUGGG